AUUGAACGCUGGCGGCAGGCCUAACGCAUGCAAGUCGGACGGUAGCACAGAGGAGCUUGCUCCUCGGGUGACGAGUGGCGGACGGGUGAGUAAUGUCUGGGGAUCUGCCCGAUAGAGGGGGAUAACCACUGGAAACGGUGGCUAAUACCGCAUAACGUCGCAAGACCAAAGAGGGGGACCUUCGGGCCUCUCACUAUCGGAUGAACCCCGAUGGGAUUAGCUAGUAGGGGGGGUAACGGCCCACCUAGGCGACGAUCCCUAGCUGGUCUGAGAGGAUGACCAGCCACACUGGAACUGAGACACGGUCCAGACUCCUACGGGAGGCAGCAGUGGGGAAUAUUGCACAAUGGGCGCAAGCCUGAUGCAGCCAUGCCGCGUGUAUGAAGAAGGCCUUCGGGUUGUAAAGUACUUUCAGCGGGGAGGAAGGCGAUGUGGUUAAUAACCGCGUCGAUUGACGUUACCCGCAGAAGAAGCACCGGCUAACUCCGUGCCAGCCGCCGCAGUAA
rnacentral:rRNA from 1 species